GAUGAACGCUAGCGGGAGGCUUAACACAUGCAAGUCGAGGGGCAGCAUUAGUACUUGUACUAGAUGGCGACCGGCGCACGGGUGAGUAACGCGUAUGCAACCUACCUUUUACUGAGGGAUAGCCCAGAGAAAUUUGGAUUAAUACCUUAUAGUUCUGUUUUACCACAUGGUUUUACAGAUAAAGUUUCGGCGGUAGAAGAUGGGCAUGCGUGACAUUAGCUAGUUGGUAAGGUAACGGCUUACCAAGGCGACGAUGUCUAGGGGUUCUGAGAGGAUUAUCCCCCACACUGGUACUGAGACACGGACCAGACUCCUACGGGAGGCAGCAGUGAGGAAUAUUGGUCAAUGGGCGCAAGCCUGAACCAGCCAUCCCGCGUGCAGGAUGACGGCCCUAUGGGUUGUAAACUGCUUUUAUAUACCAAGAAACCUAUCUACGUGUAGAUAGCUGACGGUAGUAUAUGAAUAAGCAUCGCUAAC
rnacentral:rRNA from 1 species